ensembl:lncRNA
GAUUCUUUUAUUUUCCAAAAUAGCAACGUUGGCCAUCGUCUACAUCAGGGCGCACUUCAUGGUCAGAGUCAUCUCAUCGGUGAAAAGGGUAUGCCCUGAACGAGUAGGCUAUCUAAUAACUCCUCUGGCUUAUCCGAACACGGAUCAGGAGCGCAACUUCAACAGCGCUCACACGCGCACACGGGCAACGGUGGAGCGAUGUAUAGGCCUACUCAAGGGCAGGUGGAUGUCCAUCGGGUCAGCGGGGGGAACGUUGCUCUACAGCCCAGAAAAGACAUGCAAUAUUAUAUUAGCAUGAGGGGUUCUGCAUAAUAUUGCGCUGGCAAAUGGGGUGCCAUUUGCAGACCUGCAGCCAGAUGACCCGAUGCCCAGAGAUCCCUGGCCACAGGCGCCACAUGCUCGAGCUCUACGACGAAGGGAGGAUUUAAUUCGGCUCUUCUAAUAUCUAAGGGGUUGGGGGGUAGGGACGAUGAGAUGGUAUACACCACUCCUUCUCAGACGGAUUGCAAGGAACCAAACUGAAAACAUUUCUAAGGAUUUGGC